rfam:Renibacterium salmoninarum ATCC 33209, complete genome.
GGGGAUGACUGGUUUCGACGAUGUUAGUCGCGACAGGUGAAGCGGGCCGAGGAUGCAGAAUUAUCUCGUAAACGCUGUCUGCAAACCAAUAAGUGCCAAUUCUAAGCGCACUGACUUCGCUCUCGCUGCCUAAAGCAGCCUGACGGUCCGUCAAGCCGGGGAUGCUCUCUACCCGGACCUUGACGUCAUUUAGAGAGCCACUGCUUUGCGUUGUUGCCGUUGCAACGUGAGGGACUUUUAGAUGGCUGGGCCUGGCAGCGACUUGUUUGCAUGAUCACUGGGGCCAAGAAAAACCGACGCAAACUGCGCCCGGAGAAGACCUGGCAACACGACAUCGGACGGGGGUUCAAUUCCCCCCAUCUCCACUA